UACGGGGGGGGCAAGCGUUGUUCGGAAUUACUGGGCGUAAAGGGCUCGUAGGUGGCCAACUAAGUCAGACGUGAAAUCCCUCGGCCUAACCGGGGAACUGCGUCUGAUACUGGAUGGCUUGAGUUCGGGAGAGGGAUGCGGAAUUCCAGGUGUAGCGGUGAAAUGCGUAGAUAUCUGGAGGAACACCGGUGGCGAAGGCGGCAUCCUGGACCGAUACUGACGCUGAGGAGCGAAAGCCAGGGGAGCGAACGGG
rnacentral:rRNA from 1 species